UACGUAGGGGGCAAGCGUUUGUCCGGAUUUAUUGGGCGUAAAGAGCGUGUAGGCGGCCCACACAGGGUCAGCUGUGAAAACUCGAGGCUCAACCUCGAGACGUCGGUUGAAACCGUAUGGCUAGAGUCCGGAAGAGGAGAGUGGAAUUCCCGGUGGUAGCGGUGAAAUGCGCAGAUAUCGGGGAAGAACACCCGUGGCGAAGGCGGCUCUCGUGGGACGGUACUGACGCUGAGACGCGAAAGCGUGGGGAGCGAACAGG
rnacentral:rRNA from 1 species